UAGAGUUUGAUCAUGGCUCAGAUUGACCCUUUGCGGCAUGCUUAACACAUGCAAGUCGAACGGCAGCACACUCUAGCUUGCUUGAUGGGUGGCGAGUGGCGAACGGGUGAGUAAUGCGUAGGAAUAUACCUUAGAGUGGGGGACAACUUGGGGAAACUCAAGCUAAUACCGCAUGAAGUCGAGAGACGAAAGCUGGGGACCAUUAGGCCUGGCGCUUUAAGAUUAGCCUACGUCCGAUUAGCUAGUUGGUGGGGUAAGGGCCUACCAAGGCGACGAUCGGUAGCUGGUCUGAGAGGAUGAUCAGCCACACUGGAACUGAGACACGGUCCAGACUCCUACGGGAGGCAGCAGUGGGGAAUAUUGGACAAUGGGGGCAACCCUGAUCCAGCAAUGCCGCGUGUGUGAAGAAGGCCUGAGGGUUGUAAAGCACUUUCAGUGGGGAGGAGAGUCUUUAGGUUAAGAGCUAGAGGAUUGGACGUUACCCACAGAAGAAGCACCGGCUAACUCCGUGCCAGCAGCCGCGGUAAUA
rnacentral:rRNA from 1 species